rnacentral:sRNA from 1 species
AAUUAUUUGGUCGUAAUAUUAAAUUUCCUUUUUUUUAACCAAAUCCCUUUAAUUUUAAAUAAUUGGUAUUUCCCUAAUCCCUAUUUUCUAAUUUUAUUCCUUUUUGGCUAAUCUUUCCGCGUUAUAUCUAACCGCAUAACCAAAUCGAAAUUUGGUCGUUCGUCGACAAAACGUCGCCACGCUUUCCUUUUUUCCUUAUUAUUAACCGAUAUUAUCGAAAUACCUUCCUGCAAUCCCUAUUAUACCAAAAACGUAAUAUUUUAUUAAAUAUUUCCGCAAAAUUUUAUUCGAUAUAUAAAAUACGUUCGUUCCAACCGUUUUGGGUAUAAUAUAUUGGGUUUAUCCGCUGUUUAAAUCCGUUAUAUUGGUCGCUAAUAUUCGAAAUUGGAUGCGGAAAUUAAAACGUUGGAAAAGCAAAUUUAUACGCAACAGGCGAAAUUAUUUCGUUUGCGAAAAUAAAAAAAACUGUAAUUUAAAAAAAUAAUACGGGUUAUAUUUCGCGAAAUUAACGAUUUGGAGGAAUUGGAUCGCGUGGAACGGGAGAAAAUAAAAUAGGAAAAACGGCGGCGAUCGUCCGAAAUUCUUCCUAAAAUAUUAUUCGAAUCGUUUUUUCCGGAUUCCAAUUUUGUUUGGAAUUUGUCUUUUCCGAUAAAUCCUUUAAAUUUUUUUUUAUUGGAUAAAAUAAAUAUUUUUACGCAAUAUUUAAUCGAUAGGUUUUUUAUUCGUUUAUUUUAAUUUAUAAUAUAAAUUAAUUGUUUUUUUUUUGCAAAUUCGUCCAAUAAUAUAAUUUUGGAUUUUAAUUAAUCCUUAAUUUUUGGAAAUAAUAGGUAAUAUUUUUUUAAAUUGUCCUUUUUUUUUAAUUAAUUUGUUCGCAGGUCCAAUUUUUGGUAAUAUUAGCGGAAUAAUUCCUAACAAUUUUGGAAAUGGUUAAGGAAUUCCCAAAUAUUUUUUUCGUAUCCGUAAUUUUCCUAUUUAACAAAAUAUUUUAUUUUACCGUGGUUGCGUUUGUGGUCGAAUAUUUGUUUAACGUUAUAAAUUU